AUUGAACGCUGGCGGCAGGCCUAACACAUGCAAGUCGAGCGGAGCGGCGGACGGGUGAGUAAUGCCUAGGAAUCUGCCUGGUAGUGGGGGAUAACGUACGGUAACGGGCGCUAAUACCGCAUACUAUCAGAUGAGCCUAGGGCGGAUUAGCUAGUUGGUGGGGUAAAGGCCUACCAGGGCGACGAUCCGUGACUGGUCUGAGAGGAGGGUCAGUCACACUGGAAAUGGGACACGGUCCAGACUCCAACGGGAGGCGGCAGUGGGGAAUAUUGGACAAUGGGCGAAAGCCGGAUGCAGCCAUGCGGGGUGUGGGAAGAAGGUCUUCGGAUUGUAAAGCAGUUUAAGUUGGGAGGCGUUACCAACAGAAUAAGCACCGGCUAACUUCGUGCCAGCAGCCGCGGUAAUUC
rnacentral:rRNA from 1 species